GGACCAGGCUGAGCAGGCUGCCCUUCUUCUGUGUGUGUGACUGUGGCUUUUUUUCAUGUUGCUUUUUGUGACCUGUUUGACAGACCGGUGUCAGUUCUGGGGAAUACUCUGCUUCAAGGCGCCAUGCCACAUUUUUCUGAGACAAUCAUUUACUUUAAUGCUAACUAAUGUAAAAAUGUAUGUAGACUAGCAUUCCGCAACUACCAAUGCAAACGUUUAAACCCAGGCCUUUCAAGGGAGAAUGUAAUACUGCAGGGAAAACUUGGCUGCCCCGUAAACCCAGUGGAGAUUUCUCCGGAAUACUUUGUAGAUACUCGGUAUAAGCCCCUCAUUCAUGCCCCGUCGUACAAAGGGAUUUGAAUUUUCCUGGGAAUACUUGCCCCGCCCCCACCUGACUGGCACCCCCGCCUGACUGGCACUGGUCACUUAUUUUAUUACUCAUUCAGUGCCACACUGUAUGCCACCCUUUUUUCUACUGUAUUUAUAUAUACACAUUCCACUGUGUCCUGUGUUUUGCACUCUUUCGAUCUGCACUGCAUUUUGCAGUGUAAGCCCUGCACUGUAAAAAAUGAUUUGACUAAUAAGUCAUGGUAACAUACUUCUCUCAUUUACUGCAACAUAAAACAAUAAUUUAUGCAAUUUCAACUCAACUGUAUGAGUUUUCAGUGUUACAACUCAGGUUUUUAAGUUUUUUAAUGACGCAAACAGCGGAUGAAUAAUUUUUCAGAGCGAGGUCAUGAACGUGACCGCAAAGCGUUCGGGUGAAAGACCAGUGGUGGGAUCUGAUGUGAUUUGAGGGUAAAGUGGUCUACAAUGCUGCUGUGAGUUAUCAUAUCUGAAAGCGAUUUCAGAGGCCUUUAAUUGAAAACAUCCCACCAAGCAUUGAGGAGCUAUGCCAAGUGUUACGAACGAAGCUUGGCCUGAGAGGCAGAUUCAUUUUACAGUUCGCUGAUCCAGAAUUCAAUAAUGAACUGUACAACUUGACUGACAUCAAAGACCUUCCUAUGGAGCUGGCAACAUUAAAAGUAUUGUUCACUGCUGAUGCCUUUCUUUCAGAUUCUACCUUGGACACAUACAGCCCACCAUCGAUCUGUAGUGGGGAUUCUGGGGAAUGGCCUGAUCCCUUCUUGAUUCCACAGUUCUCACAUGAUGUGGAACUUCAGCUGAAAGAAGCAAAUUGCAAGAAAUCAUUGGAGAGCAGCCACUCCCUGCAGAGGUUCUUAGCAGAUGGCCAGCUCUCUUUCUUGAGAGACAGGUUAGGGCAGAGUUCAGGAGAGUCGUCAUUACAGACAUUCUUCAAUCUUUUCUUGUUGGACUUGAUGUCCCGGUCCAAAGACUUCUGGAGGUGUACAAAGCAGCAACCAAGUCUGUAAAGAAGCAGGCACUCAAAGACAUUUUGGACUGUCUUGAGAAAGAUGACACCAGUGAGAGGAGAAGCACUGCUGCCUUGGUUGGUCUGCCACACUACAUAUCCCAAGAUCCAUCUGACGUCAUCAGGAUGUGUGAUGCUCAUGGUGAAACAGUGGAUCUGGCCAUGAAGGGGAUGCAGGUCGGACUGCUUAUAGGCUACGAAGGUGCCGAGAAGGACGCUCUUCCAAGGGAGGUCUUUGACAUGGCAGCUGUGGUCGAGGAGACCAUUGUUGUAAACAACCUCAAGGACGUGCCCUGUAGAUUUGCCAGGCUUAUGGGCAUCAUUUACUGCGUGAAUCUUGAGUAUCCACAAGCCAUGAAGUUCUCGUUUGAGUUCCUGCAGAGAGUGGUGAUGAAGAUCCAACCAGACCAAGCCUCUGCCCAAGUACAUGGCUUAAGUAACAAGCUCCUGAGGUACAAAUUGUAGAACAAGUUUGCAUGAAGGACAUUAAGGAUGAGUUAACUUCCUAAUGUUUUCAUUUUCAUUUGCCUUUAUUGAGAUUCUAAAGAAAGCCUUUGUUGCUGUUCUCAAUUACAUGGGCAUUUUGGCAUUUCUUGGGAAAAACAAUGUGUUUGGUGUAACGUUGAAAAUA